GGGCUGUCGGGAAAUGCACUGAUCCGCCGGGCGUACCUGGUCGCCCAUCGGUCCGGCGGGGAGCUAGUGGCGAAACCGAGCCCGUACGACU
rfam:Actinobacteria bacterium 13_1_20CM_3_71_11 13_1_20cm_3_scaffold_7061, whole genome shotgun sequence.